AAUGGCAGGAGACACCAUGAGAUGUUUUCUACUGUAGAAACUUUCUCAUUAGAAAUAGCCCAUUUAUACAGGGGACUGGCUAAUGUUUUUCUAUGAGUAUCAUUAGCCAGUGUCUCAAAGUGGUGAAGAGUGAUAAAAUGGAGAAGAGAAAAAAGGAAAGGGAGUAUCUUCUGAUUGUAUUUAUUCCAUGGGUUUUUCAACUCUAAGAAACCUGAGGCUAACAGUUUACAAAGAAUUGAAAAAACCGUACAAUGAGUCCAAAGCUUAUUUUAACCCUUCUAUAGAUUUUCAUGCCUUCUUGAAGCCAAUUUGGAGCUUAGAAAUAUUUAUUAUUGGUAUUUCUAAUGAAGAAUGUUCUUUAUACACACCUGUCACCAACAGUAACCUCAUGAUUUAGAGGCAUUAGCUUCUUUUCCUACAAGCUUAGUGUGGGGUCAAGGUUACCUCUGGUCCAGAAUAUCUGGCAUAUGACAUAUUUGCAGGACUGCAACCUGGAACAAGGAGAGACAAAGGGAAGGAGGAGUCUGGAGCCAUAUUGAAGAUGAAAUUGAGAUAUGGACUAGGUGGUGGAUCGUUUUUAUAAGAGGACAUAAAAGAGGAUGCUAAAGCUAAUUGCCACAAUCAGAACUCAAAGACCUAGCAAAUGCAAGGUGGUAUUUAUUCUAAACUCAGCAAAGUAGUAGAAAAAUAGUUUUGAGAACAGUUUUAAGGAGACUAGGGUAACAGUGAGAAAAUAGUUCAUGGCUAGUCUGGACUUAGGACUUUAGGGUCGGCCUGGUGAAUUGAAGGGAAGCAGCUGAUACACUCUGGUUGCCUUGUACCCUGGCUUUUGGUGCUUUCCCAUGUGCUGUAGUCAUCAGUAAUCUGGAGGAAAUGCUAUAGAGGCAAAGACACCAUUAGAUGGGUGCUCAACUAGCAAACAGGAUGUGACCACAGAGUAGUUACCCCAAGACCAGGUCAGCAUGACCCAAAAGGCAGAAGAGGACAAGGUUUAUGAGUGUUGGGCUGAGCUCACGCCUGCUUGAACAUCUCAAGAACAAUGUUAAUGAUGGAAGAGAGAGAUAGGAGAGGAAACUCAUUAAACUUGCCAAAUAUGAGAUGUAGCUGGGUUGGCUCUAUGUAAGCAUGGCAGAAAAGCAUUUAGAAGUCAUAAUACAUUUAAAAUAAGAGCUACCAGCAUAGCAGUGACAUGAAGAAGGCAUGUGUUUUGUUAAAAAGUUUUAAAUACUCCUAUAAAAGAUAGUAAGGUACAAGUUGUUUGCUUGAUCAGCAAUGCUAAUUGCCUUUGAAGUGCAUGCCUGGGGAUUCCAUGGAGAGAGGACCCUGUUUCUCCACCCCAACCCAAAUUCACUGAGUUUAUGUCAGAAUGUUCAGAAGCCCCUUUACAAAUUCCUCUGAUUGCCUUGUUAGACACUGGCCACCUCCCUGAACCUGGGCCAAGAUGAGGGUCUACACCUUGGCUUAGUUCUACUAUGAAAGACUUUCCUGCAGUAAAAGUUACCUGUCUGAAACAUUCAGAAGAGUGAAAAUGCCACAUCUCCAAUUUCCAGCAAUAUAUUUGUCUGCCAUGAUUUGGCCUGGAAGCUUAAGCAGGAAGACCACUUGGAGCCAGACUUCAGAGUGAUCUGUCUCUAAGGAAUAACUUUCAUAUUGCAGCGUUCGGUUUUGCAAUUCUUCCUAAGCUACUCUAAAUUCGCAGCAUAAAUCUGCAGAAAGACUUCACCCUCCACAUCAAACCCUUAUAAGGAUCCAUUUCUGCUCUCAUUUUAGAAUAUCUUUUCUAAUAGCUAAAGGCAGACAGAGGCAAACCAAGAAAUCCAGACUUUGCAUCAACGGGUUAAAUCAUAUGUCAAAGGUGCAACCAUAACGUAUUACAAGCUUCUCAUCACAUAAUACAUCACUCAAGAAAAAAUAUUUGGGCAGCUUUUCUAAUUCAUCUUCCUGGUGUUAAAGGAGCACAUCUCCAGUGUUCGUGUCUUCUGUUUCAAUUAAAGCAAUCAUGCCUACUCUUUUAGGAAACUA
rnacentral:lncRNA from 1 species